AGCCCGAUAGUCUAGCGGUCAAGGAUUCUGCCCUCUGGAGGCAGAGACGGCAGUUCGAAUCUGCCUCGGGCUA
rnacentral:tRNA from 1 species